rnacentral:rRNA from 1 species
UACGUAGGGGCCUAGCGUUGUCCGGAAUUAUUGGGCGUAAAGAGCUCGUAGGCGGUUCGGCAAGUCGGAUGUGAAAUCUCCACGCUUAACGUGGAGGGGCCAUUCGAAACUGCUGUGACUCGAGUCCGGUAGGGGGGUGUGGAAUUCCCGGUGUAGCGGUGAAAUGCGCAGAUAUCGGGAGGAACACCAAUGGCGAAAGCAGCUCUCUGGGACGGUACUGACGCUGAGACGCGAAAGCGUGGGGAGCGAACAGG